rnacentral:rRNA from 1 species
GAACGCUGGCGGCAGGCCUAACACAUGCAAGUCGAACGGUAACAGGAAGCAGCUUGCUGCUCGCUGACGAGUGGCGGACGGGUGAGUAAUGUCUGGGAAACUGCCUGAUGGAGGGGGAUAACUACUGGAAACGGUAGCUAAUACCGCAUAACGUCGCAAGACCAAAGAGGGGGACCUUCGGGCCUCUUGCCAUCAGAUGUGCCCAGAUGGGAUUAGCUUGUUGGUGGGGUAACGGCUCACCAAGGCGACGAUCCCUAGCUGGUCUGAGAGGAUGACCAGCCACACUGGAACUGAGACACGGUCCAGACUCCUACGGGAGGCAGCAGUGGGGAAUAUUGCACAAUGGGCGCAAGCCUGAUGCAGCCAUGCCGCGUUGUAUGAAGAAGGCCUCCGGGUUGUAAAGUACUUUCAGCGGGGAGGAAGGUGUUGUGGUUAAUAACCGCAGCAAUUGACGUUACCCGCAGAAGAAGCACCGGCUAACUCCGUGCCAGCCGCGGC